GCCUGGGUGGCUCAGUCGGUAAAGCGUCUGACUUCCACUCAGGUUAUGAUCUCGCAGUUUGUGAGUUCGAGCCCCGCGUCGGGCU
rnacentral:tRNA from 1 species